rnacentral:rRNA from 1 species
ACAGGGGUGGCAAGCGUUGUCCGGAAUUACUGGGUGUAAAGGGUGCGUAGGCGGAUCUUCAAGUCAGUGGUAAAAUCCUACAGCUUAACUGUAGACCCACCAUUGAUACUGUUGAUCUUGAGUGCAAGAAAGAAGAUUGGAAUUCCCAGUGUAGCGGUGAUAUGCGUAGAGAUUGGGAAGAACACCAGUAGCGAAGGCGGAUCUUUGGAUUGUAACUGACGCUGAUGCACGAAAGCGCGGGGAGCAAACAG